AUUGAACGCUGGCGGCAUGCUUUACACAUGCAAGUCGAGCGGCAGCGCGGGGGCAACCCUGGCGGCGAGCGGCGAACGGGUGAGUAAUGCAUCGGAACGUAUCCUCGAGUGGGGGAUAACCCAGCGAAAGUUGGGCUAAUACCGCAUGAGCUCUGAGGAGGAAAGCGGGGGACCUGCGAGGGCCUCGCGCUGGAGGAGCGGCCGAUGUCCGAUUAGCUAGUUGGUGGGGUAAAGGCUUACCAAGGCGACGAUCGGUAGCUGGUCUGAGAGGAUGAUCAGCCACACUGGGACUGAGACACGGCCCAGACUCCUACGGGAGGCAGCAGUGGGGAAUUUUGGACAAUGGGGGCAACCCUGAUCCAGCCAUGCCGCGUGAGUGAAGAAGGCCUUCGGGUUGUAAAGCUCUUUCGGACGGAACGAAAUGGGCGGGACUAAUACUCCUGUCUGAUGACGCUACCGUAAGAAGAAGCACCGGCUAACUACGUG
rnacentral:rRNA from 1 species